rnacentral:rRNA from 1 species
AUUGAACGCUAGCGGGAUGCCUUACACAUGCAAGUCGAACGGAGUGGCGGACGGGUGAGUAAUGUAUCGGAACGUGCCAAGUAGCGGGGGAUAACUACUCGAAAGAGUGGCUAAUAACGCAUACUAUUGUAUCGGCAGAUAUGGGAUUAGCUAGUUGGUGGGGGAAACGCUCACCAAGGCAACGAUCCGUAGCUGGUUUGAGAGGAUGACCAGCCACACUGGAACUGAGACACGGCCCAGACUCCUACGGGAGGCAGCAGUGGGGAAUUUUGGACAAUGGGGGAAACCCUUAUCCAGCCAUCCCGCGUGUAUGAAGAAGGCCUUCGGGUUGUAAAGUACUUUUGGCAGAGAAGCGGUAUCUGCAGAAUAAGCACCGGCUAACUACGUGCCAGCAGCCGCGGUAAUAC